rnacentral:rRNA from 1 species
UACUCCUACGGGAGGCAGCAGUAGGGAAUCUUCCACAAUGGACGCAAGUCUGAUGGAGCAACGCCGCGUGAGUGAAGAAGGCUUUCGGGUCGUAAAACUCUGUUGUUGGAGAAGAAUGGUCGGCAGAGUAACUGUUGUCGGCGUGACGGUAUCCAACCAGAAAGCCACGGCUAACUACGUGCCAGCAGCCGCGGUAAUACGUAGGUGGCAAGCGUUAUCCGGAUUUAUUGGGCGUAAAGCGAGCGCAGGCGGUUUUUUAAGUCUGAUGUGAAAGCCCUCGGCUUAACCGAGGAAGUGCAUCGGAAACUGGGAAACUUGAGUGCAGAAGAGGACAGUGGAACUCCAUGUGUAGCGGUGAAAUGCGUAGAUAUAUGGAAGAACACCAGUGGCGAAGGCGGCUGUCUGGUCUGUAACUGACGCUGAGGCUCGAAAGCAUGGGUAGCGGACAGGAUUAGAUACCCUGGUAGUCCAUGCCGUAAACGAUGAAUGCUAGGUGUUGGAGGGUUUCCGCCCUUCAGUGCCGCAGCUAACGCAUUAAGCAUUCCGCCUGGGGAUUACGACCGCAAGGUUGAAACUCAAAGGAAUUGACGGA